GGGUUGUGAGGUUAAGCGACUAAGCGUACACGGUGGAUGCCCUGGCAGUCAGAGGCGAUGAAGGACGUGCUAAUCUGCGAAAAGCGUCGGUAAGGUGAUAUGAACCGUUAUAACCGGCGAUGUCCGAAUGGGGAAACCCAGUGUGAUUCGUCACACUAUCGUUAACUGAAUACAUAGGUUAACGAGGCGAACCGGGGGAACUGAAACAUCUAAGUACCCCGAGGAAAAGAAAUCAACCGAGAUUCCCCCAGUAGCGGCGAGCGAACGGGGAGCAGCCCAGAGUCUGAAUCAGCUUGUGUGUUAGUGGAACGGUCUGGAAAGUCCGACGGUACAGGGUGAUAGUCCCGUACACCAAAAUGCACAGGCUGUGAACUCGAAGAGUAGGGCGGGACACGUGGUAUCCUGUCUGAAUAUGGGGGGACCAUCCUCCAAGGCUAAAUACUCCUGACUGACCGAUAGUGAACCAGUACCGUGAGGGAAAGGCGAAAAGAACCCCGGCGAGGGGAGUGAAAAAGAACCUGAAACCGUGUACGUACAAGCAGUGGGAGCACCUUCGGGUGUGACUGCGUACCUUUUGUAUAAUGGGUCAGCGACUUAUAUUCUGUAGCAAGGUUAACCGUAUAGGGGAGCCGCAGGGAAACCGAGUCUUAACUGGGCGUUAAGUUGCAGGGUAUAGACCCGAAACCCGGUGAUCUAGCCAUGGGCAGGUUGAAGGUUGGGUAACACUAACUGGAGGACCGAACCGACUAAUGUUGAAAAAUUAGCGGAUGACUUGUGGCUGGGGGUGAAAGGCCAAUCAAACCGGGAGAUAGCUGGUUCUCCCCGAAAGCUAUUUAGGUAGCGCCUCGUGAAUUCAUCUUCGGGGGUAGAGCACUGUUUCGGCUAGGGGGUCAUCCCGACUUACCAACCCGAUGCAAACUACGAAUACCGAAGAAUGUUAUCACGGGAGACACACGGCGGGUGCUAACGUCCGUCGUGAAGAGGGAAACAACCCAGACCGCCAGCUAAGGUCCCAAAGUCAUGGUUAAGUGGGAAACGAUGUGGGAAGGCACAGACAGCCAGGAUGUUGGCUUAGAAGCAGCCAUCAUUUAAAGAAAGCGUAAUAGCUCACUGGUCGAGUCGGCCUGCGCGGAAGAUGUAACGGGGCUAAACCAUGCACCGAAGCUGCGGCAGCGACACUAUGUGUUGUUGGGUAGGGGAGCGUUCUGUAAGCCUGCGAAGGUGUGCUGUGAGGCAUGCUGGAGGUAUCAGAAGUGCGAAUGCUGACAUAAGUAACGAUAAAGCGGGUGAAAAGCCCGCUCGCCGGAAGACCAAGGGUUCCUGUCCAACGUUAAUCGGGGCAGGGUGAGUCGACCCCUAAGGCGAGGCCGAAAGGCGUAGUCGAUGGGAAACAGGUUAAUAUUCCUGUACUUGGUGUUACUGCGAAGGGGGGACGGAGAAGGCUAUGUUAGCCGGGCGACGGUUGUCCCGGUUUAAGCAUGUAGGCUGGUUAUCCAGGCAAAUCCGGAUAAUCAAGGCUGAGGUGUGAUGACGAGGCACUACGGUGCUGAAGUAACAAAUGCCCUGCUUCCAGGAAAAGCCUCUAAGCAUCAGGUAACAUCAAAUCGUACCCCAAACCGACACAGGUGGUCAGGUAGAGAAUACCAAGGCGCUUGAGAGAACUCGGGUGAAGGAACUAGGCAAAAUGGUGCCGUAACUUCGGGAGAAGGCACGCUGGUGUGUAGGUGAAGUCCCUGCGGAUGGAGCUGAGACCAGUCGAAGAUACCAGCUGGCUGCAACUGUUUAUUAAAAACACAGCACUGUGCAAACACGAAAGUGGACGUAUACGGUGUGACGCCUGCCCGGUGCCGGAAGGUUAAUUGAUGGGGUUAUCCGUAAGGAGAAGCUCUUGAUCGAAGCCCCGGUAAACGGCGGCCGUAACUAUAACGGUCCUAAGGUAGCGAAAUUCCUUGUCGGGUAAGUUCCGACCUGCACGAAUGGCGUAAUGAUGGCCAGGCUGUCUCCACCCGAGACUCAGUGAAAUUGAACUCGCUGUGAAGAUGCAGUGUACCCGCGGCAAGACGGAAAGACCCCGUGAACCUUUACUAUAGCUUGACACUGAACAUUGAGCCUUGAUGUGUAGGAUAGGUGGGAGGCUUUGAAGCGUGGACGCCAGUCUGCGUGGAGCCAACCUUGAAAUACCACCCUUUAAUGUUUGAUGUUCUAACGUUGGCCCCUGACCGGGGUUGCGGACAGUGUCUGGUGGGUAGUUUGACUGGGGCGGUCUCCUCCCAAAGCGUAACGGAGGAGCACGAAGGUUAGCUAAUCCUGGUCGGACAUCAGGAGGUUAGUGCAAUGGCAUAAGCUAGCUUGACUGCGAGCGUGACGGCGCGAGCAGGUGCGAAAGCAGGUCAUAGUGAUCCGGUGGUUCUGAAUGGAAGGGCCAUCGCUCAACGGAUAAAAGGUACUCCGGGGAUAACAGGCUGAUACCGCCCAAGAGUUCAUAUCGACGGCGGUGUUUGGCACCUCGAUGUCGGCUCAUCACAUCCUGGGGCUGAAGUAGGUCCCAAGGGUAUGGCUGUUCGCCAUUUAAAGUGGUACGCGAGCUGGGUUUAGAACGUCGUGAGACAGUUCGGUCCCUAUCUGCCGUGGGCGCUGGAGAAUUGAGGGGGGCUGCUCCUAGUACGAGAGGACCGGAGUGGACGCAUCACUGGUGUUCGGGUUGUCAUGCCAAUGGCACUGCCCGGUAGCUAAAUGCGGAAGAGAUAAGUGCUGAAAGCAUCUAAGCACGAAACUUGCCCCGAGAUGAGUUCUCCCUGAGACUUUAAGUCUCCUGAAGGAACGUUGAAGACGACGACGUUGAUAGGCCGGGUGUGUAAGCGCAGCGAUGCGUUGAGCUAACCGGUACUAAUGAACCGUGAGGCUUAACCUUACAACGCCGAAG
rnacentral:rRNA from 1 species